AAGAGUUGCAAAACUCCCAAACCAUUGUGAACAUACCUUCAACGUUGCUUCGGCGGGUUGGCCCCGGUCUCCGGGGUCCCCGGCCCUACUCGGGCGCCCGCCGGAGGUAUCUAACUCUUGAACUUUUAUGGCCUCUCUGAGUCAACUAUAAAUAAGUUA
rnacentral:misc_RNA from 1 species